UCUUUGCUAGUAUAUCGGUUAGUACACGCGCCUGUCAUAGGGCCGCGCGAAAGCUGGGUUCGACUCCCAGGCAGAGAG